rnacentral:rRNA from 1 species
GACGAAGGUGGCAAGCGUUGUUCGGAUUCACUGGGCAUAAAGGGCGCGUAGGCGGUUCCAUAAGCGGCAUGUGAAAGCCCCCGGCUCAACCGGGGAAGUGCGUGCCGGACUGUGGUUCUAGAGGGUGGUAGGGGGGACUGGAACUCUCGGUGGAGCGGUGAAAUGCGUAGAUAUCGAGAGGAACACCGGUGGCGAAGGCG